UACGUGGGUGCGAGCGUUAAUCGGAAUUACUGGGCGUAAAGCGUGCGCAGGCGGUUGCCUAAGCCAGGCGUGAAAUCCCCGGCGUCAACCUGGGAAGUUGUCGAUUGUGACUGCAAAGACUGGAGUGCGGCGAGAGGGGGAAGUGGAAUUCCGCGUGUAGCAGUGAAAUGCGUAGAUAUGCGGAGGAACACCGAUGGCGAAGGCAAUCCCCUGGGCCGUGCACUGACGCUCAUGCACGAAAGCGUGGGGAGCAAACAGGAUUAGAAACCCUAGUAGU
rnacentral:rRNA from 1 species